UGUGUGUUUUUUCGGCCGGGGCAUGUUUUUCUUUGUUCUUUACUGCUCUUUUCGUAAGUAUCUUGGGUACUUGGCAGUAUUUAGCUAUAAAUAAUUUUCUGUACUAGGAUCUUAAAUUUUUGCAUUUUUUAUUUAUGUCCUUCCAUAAUUCGGAUGCAGACAGUCUCUUUCAUCUGGUGCAAGUCAUCGGUCAGGCGGUGCCUUUCUCGACUCGGCUGGUUUGGGCCAAAUUAUAGAGCUGUGCCAACCGAAGCCUCACUAUAAGAAAAAAACUAGUAGCUGCUAAAAGACACAUGGAAGAAUUGUAGUGGGAGGAUAGUAGCUGUUAGGGAAAGCAAAACAGAGAAUUAACAAAUUACUAGUGUUUGAUUCUUGCGUUUUCGCCACUUUAUUUGGUAAACAGUGCCAAAUCGUUUUACAACUUUGAAUUGUUCUUUUGAAGAGUUG
rnacentral:lncRNA from 1 species